UGGGUUUGACAUGCACCAGACGCGUCUAGAGAUAGGCGUUCCCUUGUGGUUGGUGUGCAGGUGGUGCAUGGCUGUCGUCAGCUCGUGUCGUGAGAUGUUGGGUUAAGUCCCGCAACGAGCGCAACCCUCGCCCUUAGUUGCCAUCAUUCAGUUGGGCACUCUAGGGGGACUGCCGGUGAUAAGCCGAGAGGAAGGUGGGGAUGACGUAAGGAUAG
rnacentral:misc_RNA from 1 species